AGCGCCUGCAACAAAGCAACCGAGAUCCCGCAGCUGAGCCGCUCCCAUCAUGAAGCCUCUGGCCUACACAAUGGGGAAGAUGAAACCAGCCAGCCUCAUCAAUCGUCCCUGGGCAGGCCAGUCUCCUCUUCAGUCUCAUGUUCAGGGUUUGCAUAAUUAGGCGCCUGAUGGAGGCGAAUGUCUGCCCCACCGAAGGUCGUCAUUGUGCAGCACUCUGUCGGGGAGCUGUGAGGUACACAGCAGCCCGGGCCUGCUCCGAACAGCAGCAGAGCCUGUGAGGAGGAGCCUGGCUUUUGCAGGAGCGCAUUAAUAAGGUUGGAAACCCGUGGCUUGGGAAUCAGAGCCAAUCGCAGUCAUGUCAGAAAUGGAAAUAAGAAACUCCUGGAUGAAAUGGAGGAGCCAGCAACCCUCUAACCAGAGGUUCUGAAUUUCAAUUUGGGGUCCACUCUGCAAAAGCUGAGGGCUAUUGAGCAAAUCCUUCAACCCCUCAGUGUCUUUGUUUCCUGGACUGCAAAAUGGUGGUGACAUACCAGUUCCCCUUAUCUUAGAGACCAAUCGGUUUACACUUUGAAGAGCUCACGGUGUGUUCAGGGCACUAUUCUAAGGGUGUUACAUGUGUAUUAACUCUAUAAUCAGCAACAACCCUAUGCAAGUUUGUAGCUGAUGGACAAAAACUUUGUCAUGGAUCAGCGCUGAUGGGUAGAGUUUAGGAUGCAUUCAUGCCCAGGGCUCCUCUGCCCAGGCUUGGGGCUACCUUGUGGGGCUUGGUUGUGAGGACCAUGGCCAAGGCUGGGUGGCCAGGGACGAAGUAUCUGUCCUGGCCUGAGCACCUGUGCUGACCUAGCCCAUCCACGCCAUCACAGUGGGCACCUUUGCUGUCCUUCUGGGAAUUCUCCCAGUCACUAGUGAGGGUGAUAGCUUUCCCACUUCUGGCCCAACCUGCUCCCACUCCAUUCCAGGGCCCCCUGGGUCAUCUCCCACUUACAGCCCUCCUCUCGCCUUUGGGAUCUGACACCUGAACUCGCUUUCUGCAGUUUGCCCUUUGGCAUUCUUCAAGGGCUUUGGCUGAUCCUGCCUUCUGGCUGCUCCUGCUCCUCCUGCCUGAUCCCCACCUCUGGACCCCAGCCUGGGCUGUCCUCAACUGUCUGGAAACUACUCAGAAUGUUAGAUCUUGAAUCACCUCUUGCAGCCACCACAGUGUGGACUCAAUCCUUUUUCCAUUCAUGUUCUCCUGUUCUGCAACUGGGCUGAAAUGACUGCAUGGCGAUGAGGGAGAGAAGACUGAGUCUCAAGUGGGGACGCAAUUUGUGGAAAACAAUAGGCCCCAGGGCAAGGAGCGAAAUGGGCAAUUAGCCCAGGUCUGUGUUGAAGUCAGUCUCUUGGACUUACCUGGAAGCUCUCUAAGGCAGGGAUAUAUUCAGAUCAUCUUUUCAUUUUUUUAUUUCCUUCCUCCUCCCAACUCUCCAUGUUCACCCCUCCCCAAAAAAACUAGUAAAGCUCAUUUGCAAUAUAUUUGUUGCUUUGAAUUUU
rnacentral:lncRNA from 1 species